GGUGGGACAAAGCUGAACUGCUAACUCUUCAAACCGGGCCCGACCUCCCGGCCCCAUCA
rnacentral:tRNA from 1 species